rnacentral:rRNA from 1 species
ACCUGGUUGAUCCUGCCAGUAGUCAUACGCUCAAGUCAAAGAUUAACCCAUGCAUGUGCAAGUAUAAACAUUUAUACUGUGAAACUGCGAACGGCUCAUUAUAUCAGCUAUAGUCUAUUUGGUAAUGUCUACUACUUGGAUACUCGUAGUAAUUCUAGGGUCAAUACAUGCAUAAAUGCCCAACUUUUCGGACGGGCAGUAUUUAUUUGAUAUAAACCAAUCGCUUCUGGCGUUUUGUGGUGAUUCAAAGUAACUAAGCGGACCGCAGUGCCUUUUGGCGGCGGUGGACCAUUCGAGUUUCUGCCCUAUCAGUUGUCGUAGGUAGUGUAUUGGACUACCUAGACCUUUACGGGUGACGGAGAAUUGGGGUUCGAUUCCGGAG